rnacentral:lncRNA from 1 species
UCUCCAUUUAAAUAAAUAAAAAAGAUUUUAACACAUAAAUAAAUAAAUAAAUAUGCAUUUAUUAAUUCUUAUUCUUACAUGUAUUAUUUAUUACUUGUAUUUAUUAAUUAUUUAUUUCUCAUUUAUUAUUUCUAUUUCUUCCUUUUAUUCCAUUCGACGCCCAAAACCCCAACUUGGUGGCACCUGGGUCAUUGUCCUUGGUGGCACCUGGGUCACUCCCUUGGUGGCACCUGGGUCACUCCCUUGGUGGCACCUGGGUCAUUGUCCUUGGUGGCACCUGGGUCACUGCCUUGGUGGCACCUGGGUCACUGUCCUUGGUGGCACCUGGGUCAUUGUCCUUGGUGGCACCUGGGUCACACCCUUGGUGGCACCUGGGUCACUCCCUUGGUGGCACCUGGGUCAUUGUCCUUGGUGGCACCUGGGUCACUGCCUUGGUGGCACCUGGGUCACUGUCCUUGGUGGCACCUGGGUCACUGCCUUGGUGGCACCUGGGUCACUGCCUUGGUGGCACCUGGGUCACUCCCUUGGUGGCACCUGGGUCACUGCCUUGGUGGCACUUGGGUCACUCCCUUGGUGGCACCUGGGUCAUUGUCCUUGGUGGCACCUGGGUCACUGCCUUGGUGGCACCUGGGUCACUCCCUUGGUGGCACCUGGGUCAUUGUCCUUGGUGGCACCUGGGUCACCUCCCUUGGUGGCACCUGGGUCACUCCCUUGGUGGCACCUGGGUCACUGUCCUUGGUGGCACCUGGGUCAUUGUCCUUGGUGGCACCUGGGUCACCUCCUUGGUGGCACCUGGGUCAUUGUCCUUGGUGGCACCUGGGUCACUCCCUUGGUGGCACCUGGGUCAUUGUCCUUGGUGGCACCUGGGUCACUCCCUUGGUGGCACCUGGGUCACUCCCUUGGUGGCACCUGGGUCACUGUCCUUGGUGGCACCUGGGUCACUGUCCUUGGUGGCACCUGGGUCACUGCCUUGGUGGCACCUGGGUCACUCCCUUGGUGGCACCUGGGUCACUGCCUUGGUGGCACCUGGGUCACUCCCUUGGUGGCACCUGGGUCACUGCCUUGGUGGCACCUGGGUCACUCCCUUGGUGGCACCUGGGUCACUGUCCUUGGUGGCACCUGGGUCACUCCCUUGGUGGCACCUGGGUCACUCCCUUGGUGGCACCUGGGUCACUGCCUUGGUGGCACCUGGGUCACUGUCCUUGGUGGCACCUGGGUCCCCCCCUUGGUGGCACCUGGGUACACCCUUGGUGGCACCUGGGUCACUGUCCUUGGUGGCACCUGGGUCACUCCCUUGGUGGCACCUGGGUCAUUGUCCUUGGUGGCACCUGGGUCACUCCCUUGGUGGCACCUGGGUCACUCCCUUGGUGGCACCUGGGUCAUUGUCCUUGGUGGCACCUGGGUCCCCCUCCCUGGUGGCACCUGGGUCAUUGUCCUUGGUGGCACCUGGGUCACUGUCCUUGGUGGCACCUGGGUCAUUGUCCUUGGUGGCACCUGGGUCACUCCCUUGGUGGCACCUGGGUCACUGUCCUUGGUGGCACCUGGGUCACUCCCUUGGUGGCACCUGGGUCGUUUUUUUGGUGGCACCUGGGUCACUCCCUUGGUGGCACCUGGGUCACUGCCUUGGUGGCACCUGGGUCACUGUCCUUGGUGGCACCUGGGUCACUCCCUUGGUGGCACCUGGGUCACUGCCUUGGUGGCACCUGGGUCACUCCCUUGGUGGCACCUGGGUCAUUGUCCUUGGUGGCACCUGGGUCACUCCCUUGGUGGCACCUGGGUCACACCCUUGGUGGCACCUGGGUCACUCCCUUGGUGGCACCUGGGUCACUGUCCUUGGUGGCACCUGGGUCACUCCCUUGGUGGCACCUGGGACAUUGUCCUUGGUGGCACCUGGGUCACUGUCCUUGGUGGCACCUGGGUCAUUGUCCUUGGUGGCACCUGGGUCAUUGUCCUUGGUGGCACCUGGGUCACUGCCUUGGUGGCACCUGGGUCAUUGUCCUUGGUGGCACCUGGGUCACUGUCCUUGGUGGCACCUGGGUCACUCCCUUGGUGGCACCUGGGUCACUCCCUUGGUGGCACCUGGGUCACUGUCCUUGGUGGCACCUGGGUCACUCCCUUGGUGGCACCUGGGUCAUUGUCCUUGGUGGCACCUGGGUCACUGCCUUGGUGGCACCUGGGUCAUUGUCCUUGGUGGCACCUGGGUCACUGUCCUUGGUGGCACCUGGGUCAUUGUCCUUGGUGGCACCUGGGUCACUGCCUUGGUGGCACCUGGGUCACACCCUUGGUGGCACCUGGGUCAUUGUCCUUGGUGGCACCUGGGUCAUUGUCCUUGGUGGCACCUGGGUCACUGCCUUGGUGGCACCUGGGUCAUUGUCCUUGGUGGCACCUGGGUCACUCCCUUGGUGGCACCUGGGUCACUGCCUUGGUGGCACCUGGGUCACUGUCCUUGGUGGCACCUGGGUCACUGCCUUGGUGGCACCUGGGUCACUGCCUUGGUGGCACCUGGGUCAUUGUCCUUGGUGGCACCUGGGUCACUGUCCUUGGUGGCACCUGGGUCAUUGUCCUUGGUGGCACCUGGGUCAUUGUCCUUGGUGGCACCUCGGUCACUCCCUUGGUGGCACCUGGGUCACUCCCUUGGUGGCACCUGGGUCAUUGUCCUUGGUGGCACCUGGGUCACUGCCUUGGUGGCACCUGGGUCACUGUCCUUGGUGGCACCUGGGUCACACCCUUGGAGGCACCUGGGUCACUGUCCUUGGUGGCACCUGGGUCACUGCCUUGGUGGCACCUGGGUCAUUGUCCUUGGUGGCACCUGGGUCACUGCCUUGGUGGCACCUGGGUCACUGCCUUGGUGGCACCUGGGUCACUCCCUUGGUGGCACCUGGGUCACUGUCCUUGGUGGCACCUGGGUCACUGCCUUUGUGGCACCUGGGUCACUGCCUUGGUGGCACCUGGGUCAUUGUCCUUGGUGGCACCUGGGUCACUGUCCUUGGUGGCACCUGGGUCAUUGCCUUGGUGGCACCUGGGUCACUGCCUUGGUGGCACCUGGGUCACUCCCUUGGUGGCACCUGGGUCACUCCCUUGGUGGCACCUGGGUCACUGCCUUGGUGGCACCUGGGUCAUUGUCCUUGGUGGCACCUGGGUCACUCCCUUGGUGGCACCUGGGUCACUGUCCUUGGUGGCACCUGGGUCAGUGUCCUUGGUGGCACCUGGGUCACUCCCUUGGUGGCACCUGGGUCAUUGUCCUUGGUGGCACCUGGGUCACUGUCCUUGGUGGCACCUGGGUCAGUGUCCUUGGUGGCACCUGGGUCACUCCCUUGGUGGCACCUGGGUCACUGUCCUUGGUGGCACCUGGGUCACUGUCCUUGGUGGCACCUGGGUCAGUGUCCUUGGUGGCACCUGGGUCACUCCCUUGGUGGCACCUGGGUCAUUGUCCUUGGUGGCACCUGGGUCCUCCUUGGUGGCACCUGGGUCACCCCUUGGUGGCACCUGGGUCAUUGUCCUUGGUGGCACCUGGGUCACUGUCCUUGGUGGCACCUGGGUCAGUGUCCUUGGUGGCACCUGGGUCACUGCCUUGGUGGCACCUGGGUCAUUGUCCUUGGUGGCACCUGGGUCACUGUCCUUGGUGGCACCUGGGUCACUCCCUUGGUGGCACCUGGGUCAUUGUCCUUGGUGGCACCUGGGUCACUGUCCUUGGUGGCACCUGGGUCACUCCCUUGGUGGCACCUGGGUCACUGUCCUUGGUGGCACCUGGGUCACUCCCUUGGUGGCACCUGGGUCACUCCCUUGGUGGCACCUGGGUCAUUGUCCUUGGUGGCACCUGGGUCACUCCCUUGGUGGCACCUGGGUCACUGUCCUUGGUGGCACCAAAGCCACCAGAGAUGUCCCCAAGUCCCCAUUCUGGGAAUUUCUUUGGAUUUUUUGGAGUUUUUGGGUGAUUUUUGGAUUUUUGGGGGAUUUUUAAAAAAUUUUUAAUUUUUAUGGGAUUUUCUAAAUGAAUUUUUGGGGGAUUUUUGGGGAUUUUUUUGGAUUUUCUGGGGGAUUUUUUGUGAUUUUUGGGGUUUUUUUAUUUUUAUUUUUAUGGGAAUUUUAGGGUUUUUUUUUUGGGAUUUUUGGGGGGAUUUUUGGGGGGAUUUUUUGGGAUUUUUUGGGGAUUUUUGGGGGGAAUUUUGGGGGAUUUUUUAGGGAUUUUUAAGGGAAUUUUUUGGGUUUUUUGGAAUUUUUUUGGAUUUUUGGGAUUUUUUUGGAGAUUUUUUGGGAUUUUUGGGGUUUUUUUGGGAUUUUUUUGGGGAAAUUUUUAGGGAUUUUUGGGGAUUUUUUGAGAUUUUUUGGGGAUUUUUUGGGCAUUUUUGGGAUUUUGGGUGGAUUUUUGGGGAUUUUUUUUUAUUUUUGGGGAUUUUUUGGGAUUUUUUGGGGAAUUUUUUGGGGAUUUUUUUGGGAUUUUUUGGGGGGAUUUUUGGGGAUUUUUGGGGGAUUUUUUGGGGGGGAAUUUUGGGGGGAUUUUUUAGGGGAUUUUUAAGGGAUUUUUUGGGGUUUUUUGGAAUUUUUUUGGUUUUUUGGGAUUUUUUUGGAGAUUUUUUGGGAUUUUUGGGUGUUUUUGGGGAUUUUUUUGGGGAAAUUUUUAGGGAUUUUUGGGGAUUUUUUGGGAUUUUUUUGGGGGAUUUUUUGGGGAUUUUUGGGGAUUUUUUUGGGAUUUUGGGGGGGAUUUUUGGGGAUUUUUUUUUAUUUUUGGGGAUUUUUUUUUUUGGGGGAUUUUUUGGGGAUUUUUUUGGGGGGAUUUUUGUGAUUUUUUGGGGAUUUUUGGGGGUUUGGGGGAGGAUUUUUUGGAGAAUUUUUUGGGAUUUUUGGGGAAUUUUUUUGGGAUUUUUUGGGAUUUUUUGGGGGGAUUUUUUGGGAUUUUUGGAGAUUUUUUGUGAUUUUUGGGGUUUUUAAACUUUUUAUUUUUAUGGGAUUUUAAGGGAUUUUUUGGGAUUUCUUUUUGAGGGAUUUUUGGGGUUUUUUUGGAAUUUUUUGGGGGGUUGGUUGUUUGUUUGCUUCUAAUUUUUUAGGGCUUUUUGCCUCUUUUUGUUUUGUUUUGUUUUGUUUAGUUUAUUUUAUUGAAUUUUUGGAGUUUUUUUUUGGGUUUUUUUUUGCCUUUUUUGGGGGGGAUUUUUUGGGGUUUUUUUGCCUGGGGUUUUUUGGGGGAUUUUUGGGUUUUUUUAAAUUGAAUUUUUGGGGGUUUUUUUGCCUCUUUUGGGG